rnacentral:rRNA from 1 species
AUGAACGCUGGCGGCGUGCCUAAUCCAUGCCAGUCGAGCGAACAGACGAGGAGCUUGCUCCUCUGACGUUAGCGGCGGACGGGUGAGUAACACGUGGAUAACCUACCUAUAAGACUGGGAUAACUUCGAGAAACCGGAGCUAAUACCGGAUAAUAUAUUGAACCGCAUGGUUCAAUAGUGAAAGACGGUUUUGCUGUCACUUAUAGAUGGAUCCGCGCCGCAUUAGCUAGUUGGUAAGGUAACGGCUUACCAAGGCGACGAUGCGUAGCCGACCUGAGAGGGUGAUCGGCCACACUGGAACUGAGACACGGUCCAGACUCCUACGGGAGGCAGCAGUAGGGAAUCUUCCGCAAUGGGCGAAAGCUUGACGGGGCAACGCCGCGUGAGUGAUGAAGGUCUUCGGAUCGUAAAACUCUGUUAUUAGGGAAGAACAAAUGUGUAAGUAACUAUGCACGUCUUGACGGUACCUAAUCAGAAAGCCACGGCUAACUACGUG